rnacentral:rRNA from 1 species
CAAUAGCGUAUAUUUAAGUUGUUGCAGUUAAAAAGCUCGUAGUUGGAUUUCGGAUGGGACUUGCCGGUCCGUCGUUUCGAUGUGCACUGGCCAGUCCUAUCUUGUUGUCGGGGACUAGCUCCUGGGCUUCACUGUCCGGGACUAGGAGCUGACGAGGUUACUUUGAGUAAAUUAGAGUGUUCAAAGCAAGCCUACGCUCUGAAUACAUUAGCAUGGAAUAACACGAUAGGACUCUGGCUUAUCUUGUUGGUCUGUGAGACCAGAGUAAUGAUUAAGAGGGACAGUUGGGGGCAUUCGUAUUUCAUUGUCAGAGGUGAAAUUCUUGGAUUUAUGAAAGACGAACUUCUGCGAAAGCAUUUGCCAAGGAUGUUUUCAUUAA